UCCCUGGAGGACUAGUGGUUAGGCUACACCGCUCUCACUGCUGCGGCCCGGGUUCGAUUCCCAGCCAGGGAA